GGAAUGAAUGAAUUUAUAAAAUUAAAGCUUUAUUUAUUUUAUUAAUAAAACUUAAUAUAUUAGUGAAGAAGCUAAUAUUAUUUUAUAGGACAAGAAGACCCUAAUGAUUUUUAUUUAAAUAAUUUAUUUAAAUAGUAUUAUAUUUUAGUAUAGUUAAUAGAAUUUUACUGGGGCGGUAAUAUUAUAAAUUAAUAUAUUAACUUAUAUAGUUAUUAAUGAUUUUAUCUAUAUAAUGAUCCUUUAUAAUGAUUAAAAGAACAAAAUACCAUAGGGAUAACAGGCUUAUUAAUUUAGAUAGUUUAUAUUGAAAAAUUAGU
rnacentral:rRNA from 1 species